AACGAACGCUGGCGACAGGCUUAACUCAUGCAAGUCGAGCGCCCCGCAAGGGGAGCGGCAGACGGGUGAGUAACACGUGGGAAUCUACCCAUCCCUGCGGAACAACUCCGGGAAACUGGAGCUAAUACCGCAUACGCCCUACGGGGGAAAGAUUUAUCGGGGAUGGAUGAGCCCGCGUUGGAUUAGCUAGUUGGUGGGGU
rnacentral:rRNA from 1 species